rnacentral:rRNA from 1 species
ACACGUAGGGGGCGAGCGUUGUCCGGAAUUACUGGGCGUAAAGGGCGCGUAGGCGGCUUAAUAAGUCUGAUGUGAAACCCCUGGGCUUAACCCUGGGCUUGCAUUAGAAGCUGUUAGGCUUGAGGACAGGAGAGGAAAGCGGAAUUCCCAGUGUAGCGGUGAAAUGCGUAGAUAUUGGGAAGAACACCAGUGGCGAAGGCGGCUUUCUGGACUGUCACUGACGCUGAGGCGCGAAAGCCAGGGUAGCGAACGGGAUUAGAUACCCCGGUAGUCCUGGCCGUAAACGAUGGAUACUAGGUGUGGGAGGUAUCGACCCCUUCCGUGCCGCAGUUAACACAUUAAGUAUCCCGCCUGGGGAGUACGGCCGCAAGGCUGAA